AGCUCCAGUAGCGUAUAUUAAAGUUGUUGCGGUUAAAAAGCUCGUAGUUGGAUCUGUGUUUCGAGCCGUCGGUUCGCCGCCCGUCGGCGUUUAACUGACGCGACUUCGAAACGUCCUGCCGGUUGGCGGUCGGUCGCGCGUCUUAUCUUCGGAUUCGACGGACUUGCGACGCGCCAGUGUUUUCACCCGUUCCCGAUACUCUUCACCGAGUGUCGAGACGGGCCGGCACGUUUACUUUGAAUCAAACUGAGUGCUCAAGGCAGGCAAAUUUUACCGCUUGAAAGAUCUUGCAUGGAAUAAUGGAAUAGGACCUCGGUUCUAUUUUGUUGGUUUUCAGAACCCCGAGGUAAUGAUAAAUGGGGACUGACGGGGGCAUUAGUAUUGCGGCGUUAGAGGUGAAAUUCUUGGAUCGUCGCAAGACUACCUAAAGCGAAAGCAUUUGCCAAGGAUGUUUUCA
rnacentral:rRNA from 1 species